rnacentral:rRNA from 1 species
AGGGAAUAGAUACCCCGGUAGUCCUGGCAGUAAACGGUGCACGUUUGGUGUGGGCGCAAUCGACCGCGUCCGCGCCGGAGCUAAACGCGUUAAACGUGCCGCCUGGGAAGUACGGUCGCAAGAUUAAAACUCAAAGAAAUUGACGGGGACCCGCACAAGCGGUGGAGUAUGUGGCUUAAUUCGAUGCAACGCGAAGAACCUUACCUGGUCUUGACAUGCAUUGUGUCUCCGGUGAAAGCCGGAUAGGGCAGCAAUGCCCGCUUUGCACAGGUGCUGCAUGGCUGCCGUCAGCUCGUGUCGUGAGAUGUUGGGUUAAGUCCCGCAACGAGCGCAACCCCUGUGAUUUGUUGCCACCGGCUUAUGCCGAGCACUCGAAUCAGACUGCCUCGAUCAACGAGGAGGAAGGUGGGGAUGACGUCAAGUCCGUAUGGCCCUUACGACCAGGGCUGCACACGUACUACAAUGCUCAGCACAAUGUGAACCGAUGCCGCGAGGUGGAGGAAAUCAAC